rnacentral:lncRNA from 1 species
CCCCAUUCCCCAUACUUUGCUUGACUUUUUUCUUUAUAGCCCUUAUUCCUACCUGACUUGAUAUAUUUACAACUGUGUUAUCAUAUCUCUCCAACGAAAUGUAAGGUUUGUGUAAAACCAUGUUCAGUCUGUACCAUACUCACACUUCCAUUUGUGAAGGCCAUGGCCUUUUAGCACUUACAGAGAAUGUGGGCACACAUAGAAGAAGGGGCUGAUCUCAGAGUGAUCUUCACUAAGCAAAGGAGAUGGACUAGACACUCAGGUCUCUCCUGGGUCUAUACAAGACCUUUCAUGUGACAUCAGAAUCUAGAGCAGCUGAGCUUGAAGGAGGUCUAAGGAAAAAGCAAGAUAGACACUGAGAAUCUUCCUGAUGCAAUGCAAGGGAAUGCAAAGUGAGGCUCAGAGCAGAACGGAGGGAAGCUGAAGAGAGGAGUUGGGGGAUGGACUGAUGACCCUUCAACCCUUGUGGCCAGCCCUCCAGGCAGCUGUUUGAGGAGGAGAACAGGAAGGCAAAGGAGUUCCUGGAGGCAGAUUCCAAGCAACAUCAGCAAUCACAGCAUAAGCACCAGAGGGCGUUUUGGUUCCAGACCAGUGACUGUCUCAGCCAUCAGCACUCAGGCCUCAACGGAGGGGAUCCUGCUCUUUCACCUCUGCCUCUUAACUCCAGGCAUGGACUUAGGACGUUCCCAGAUUUCUCACCGCACAGCAGAAACCAGGCUGUAAUGUUUAAUAAGAUUUUAUUGACACUUCUUGGACUGUGGGAGAGAAGUGUAACACAAAUACUAGGACUUAUAACUAUUCAUAGACCUCAGAUCCAUUCUGAGAUUUCUCACUAUGCCAGUUUUCUGCCUGACCCCCAGCCUGCCUCCAAAUGGCCAGGGGCAGUUCAUCACCUCCACCACCAGGAUUUUCUAUGAGCCUUUCCACCUCAGAAUCAUGGCCAAACUUACUACUAGCACAGAACAGAGUGUUGGAAAAUUCUUCCCUUAUCUCAGUCUAAGAAGGGGGAAUUCUAUAGUACCCUCAUUUUAGGCCCCAAGACCCACCUUCAUCUAGAAUGUGUAACAGCAGACCAUUCUUAUUUUUCAGAGGAAACCCCAUUCAGACCCCGUGGGUGGUCUGAGAAGACAUUUAUAAAAUAAUUGAUAGUCUUUU